rnacentral:lncRNA from 1 species
UGGUGGCCUAGUGGGUAAAGGACCAACCUCUCAAAUAUGAGAGCGCGGGUUCGAUCCCAGGUCAGGCAAGUACCAAUGCAACUUUUCUAAGUUUGUAUGUACUUUCUAAGUAUAUCUUAGACACCAUUGGCUGUGUUUCGGAUGGCACGUUAAACUGUAGGUCCCGGCUGUCAUUGAACAUCCUUGACAGUCGUUACGGGUAGUCAGAAGCCAGUAAGUCUGACACCAGUCUAACCAAGGGGUAUCGGGUUGCCCGGGUAACUGGGUUGAGGAGGUCAGAUAGGCAGUCGCUUCUUGUAAAGCACUGGUACUCAGCUGAAUCCGGUGAGACUGGAAGCCGACCCCAACAUGAUUGGGAAAAGGCUCGGAGGAUGAUGA